rnacentral:rRNA from 1 species
GUUACCAAGGCGACGAUACGUAGCCGACCUGAGAGGGUGAUCGGCCACACUGGAACUGAGACACGGUCCAGACUCCUACGGGAGGCAGCAGUAGGGAAUCUUCCGCAAUGGGCGAAAGCCUGACGGAGCAACGCCGCGUGAGUGAUAAGGGUUUCGGCUCGUAAAACUCUGUUAUUAGGGAAGAACAAACGUGUAAGUAACUGUGCACGUCUUGACGGUACCUAAUCAGAAAGCCACGGCUAACUACGUGCCAGCAGCCGCGGUAAUACGUAGUGGCAAGCGUUAUCCGGAAUUAUUGGGCGUAAAGCGCGCGUAGGCGGUUUCUUAAGUCUGAUGUGAAAGCCCACGGCUCAACCGUGGAGGGUCAUUGGAAACUGGGAAACUUGAUGCAGAAGAGGAAAGUGGAAUUCCAUGUGUAGCGGUGAAAUGCGCAGAGAUAUGGAGGAACACCAGUGGCGAAGGCGACUUUCUGGUCUGUAACUGACGCUGAUGUGCGAAAGCGUGGGGAUCAAACAGGAUUAGAUACCCUGGUAGUCACGCCGUAAACGAUGAGUGCUAAGUGUUAGGGGGUUUCCGCCCCUUAGUGCUGCAGCUAACGCAUUAAGCACUCCGCCUGGGGAGUACGACCGCAAGGUUGAACUCAAAGGAAUUGACGGGGACCCGCACAAGCGGUGGAGCAUGUGGUUUAAUUCGAGCAACGCGAAGAACCUUACCAAAUCUUGACAUCCUUUGAAAACUCUAGAGAUAGAGCCUUCCCCUUCGGGGGACAAAGUGACAGGUGGUGCAUGGUUGUCGUCAGCUCGUGUCGUGAGAUGUUGGGUUAAGUCCCGCAACGAGCGCAACCCUUAAGCUUAGUUGCCAUCAUUAAGUUGGGCACUCUAGGUUGACUGCCGGUGACAAACCGGAGGAAGGUGGGGUGACGUCAAAUCAUCAUGCCCCUUAUGAUUUGGCUACACACGUGCUACAAUGGACAAUACAAAGGGCAGCUAAACCGCGAGGUCAUGCAAAUCCCAUAAAGU